UACGGAGGGGGCGAGCGUUAUUCGGAAUUAUUGGGCGUAAAGGGCGCGUAGGCGGCCUGGCAAGUCAUGGGUGAAAUCCCUCGGCUCAACCGAGGAAUUGCCCAUGAAACUGCCUGGCUCGAGGCCGGGAGGGGGUAGCGGAAUUCCCAGUGUAGCGGUGAAAUGCGUAGAUAUUGGGAGGAACACCAGUGGCGAAGGCGGCUACCGGGACCGGUUCUGACUCUGAGGCGCGAAAGCGUGGGGAGCAAACAGG
rnacentral:rRNA from 1 species